rfam:Marine metagenome 1092405866215, whole genome shotgun sequence.
GGGAGUAGGAGGGCUGCUGACAGAGUUAGACUCUGAGGAAAGUCCCCUCUCCAUAGCGCAUGUGCCUCACAGAAGAGAGAAGUCAGAGAUGGUUAGGUUAAUGCAAUAGAAACGAACGAUAUAGGGGUAGUACAAUGAUGUUGAAAGACAGAGGUUUCCCUAUUGUCGAUGAAACGAGCAACCGCACAGGAGCAAGUCCAAGCAGUUCCAUUGAGAUUGCGCGUCUAGGAACAGGUAGGAUGCUUAGUUGAAUGCAGCCACCGCAAGGUAACAGAAAGGGGCUUACUCCCUACUCCC